rnacentral:lncRNA from 1 species
CUGCGUUUUCCGGUGAGACUUAAUAUUUUUUUUAUUGUUAAUCUCAUACAAUUCCGUGCAAACAUAGUAAUUAUAAAUAUAUCCCCAUAAAAUUUAAUUUUUAUAUAUUGUUUUUACAAAAAUUCUGAUAUUUUCAAAUAUAUUCCUACCGCGCUAGGAUCGGUUAAAAAGAAUUAGUUAAUUAUAGAUAAAAUAUUUAAUCCUAAUUAGUUAAUAAGGUGAAUUGACCUUUUUACCCCACUUUAAUUAAUAGUUGGGACUUUUGAAGAGACAUAUUUGUGAUGGUAAAAAUAUUAUUUUACUUAUAAAAUAAACAGUAUUUUAACAGUAAUAAAUUAAAAAAUAUAUUUGAAAAUAUUAAAACUUUUACAAAAAUAAUAUAUUAAAGUUGAAUUUUGUGGGUAUAUAUUUAUAAUUUAUUAUAUUUGUAGAAAUAUAUAUAAAAUUAACUUUUCUUUUUUUCUUUUAAUCAUUGGGGAUGGUCCCCUCCAUCUCCACGAUUAUUAAAGAUCCAAUCACCCACACACGCCACCACUUACCACGUCAUCCCCACGAAGCCACGACGGCGACGGCGUUGGACGGCCACCAACCCGCCACGUGGGGCCCCGAGGACGGUCCAGAUAAUUCGACACGUGUGCGCAUUCAAUAGGCAGGCUCCGCAGCGCCACGUGGCUAUCCCUCCACGUUGCCCUUCGCACGUGUGGGGUGGAUGGGACGCAGGUGCCCGACCCCUCCGUACGCGCACGGGCUGUAGGCCGUAAAUUGCACUACUAGUCCCUGAACUUUGAGUCCUAUUUUAUUUUGGUCCUCAAAUAUCGGAUUUUGAAUUAUAAAUAAAAGAUUUCAAUUUAGUUCCUGCC